AAGUCGUAACAAGGUAUCCGUAGGUGAACCUGCGGAUGGAUCAUUACCAAUUUUAUAUACUAGUGUGUAUGCCGCUGUCAAAGGUGGUACUACACUACUACUAUUAUGUAAACGUUGAACUAGAUCAAUUGGUGUGGAUUGCUUGGGAAUGGACGAAGCGACAAGCCUCUUCCGGACAGGCAAACCCCACACUGAUACCCUUUUCAAUAUAAUUUACUAGUACAUACUACAAACAAACAAACAAACAAAAGCUAUAAUAGGACUUAUAAACAGGCUGAGUGGGUAAAAUCCUCGGCUUAACCAAUAUAACUAUUACAACUUUCGGCAAUGGAUCUCUAGGCUCUC
rnacentral:misc_RNA from 1 species